ensembl:snRNA U6 U6 spliceosomal RNA
AUGCUUCGGCAGCACAUAUACUAAAAUUGGAACAAUACAGAGAUUAGCAUGGCCCCUGCACAAGGAUGACAUGCAAAAUUCUUGAAGCGUUCCAUAUUUUU